rnacentral:lncRNA from 1 species
GUGGUCCUUGACCCACAUUUCAUCCAUUUUUAUAUCUAUGUCUGUAUCUGUUUCAAAGCCACCUACCUCCUCAGGCUGCAGAUGUGGCUCAUGGAGAGCACUUGCCUGGCAUACACACAGGCCAUGGUUUUGACUCAGGAGGCUGAGGUAGGAGGAUCGAGAGUUUGAGGCCAGCCUCAGCAAUUUAGUGAGGCCCUGUCUCAAAGUAAGAUAAAAAAGGCUGAGGAUGGAGCUCAGGGUUAGUGUGCUUACCUAGCAUGCCUGAGGCUCUGAGUGGAUCCCCGGCAUUGAGAAACAAACUCAGAGCCUUCCUGAAAAAUCCUGCUAUUUUCCUACCAGGCCUUGGUUCAUUUAUUCAUUCGAUAAAUCAAUUUAAAAGUAUUUAAGUGCUUGCUUUUCCCAGUCUUGCUGCUGGCUCAGGUGUUGGAAAUCCCAGAAGGAGUUUAUUAAAGGGAUUGAUUAGGAAAGCCAGCCCUGGGGCAGCUCCUCAGCUCUGUAUUCAGGUUCUGUAUUUGGCUUUCCAUUAAUACCCUCUGGGACUUAUGUCACUGAAGAGAUUUCAAGUUCCUUCUCCCCACGGUGCUCUCCCUCCUCCUCUGCCGGAUCCACCUGAAGAGUGACUGUCCUUGUGGUCUGUCCCCAAGGCCAAAGGAGUCUGGAGAGCUGCUGACCUUCAAGGUCACGUCCUGCUUUAGAGCUCUGCUGAAGGAGGACUCCUGAGCCACAGCUGCCGUGGGCACGGGGUCCUGGAGUGGUAGCUCAGGGGCCAUCUAAUCACCUCACCUGGCUGGGCUGAGUUCUGCAGGCACACGGCUGCUUUGCUCUGGCCCCUCCUCAAAAGACCUCCACCAAGUCAGUGGAGGACACCUAUAAUCCCGUCGGCUUGGGAGGCUGAGGCAGGAGGAUCACAAGUUCAAAGCCAGCCUCAGCAACUUAGCAAAGCCCCAGCAACUCAUUGAGACCCCCUUUCAAAAUAAAAAACAAAGAGGGUUGGGGAUGUGCCUCAGUGGUUAAGUGUCCUUCGGUUCAAUCCCUGGUGCUAAAAACAAAAAACAAAACAAAAGUCCUCCUCCAAGAAUCAAAUGAGGGCCUAACCUUGUGCUAGGCAGCAUCUUUUUGGGAGAGAGGGGUAUGUGACAACUUCACUUCCAGACCCAAAUUGAAAGUUCAAGAUCAGAACUUCAUUGUCCAGAAAGCAAGGUGCAGAAUGGACACAAAUAAUACAAAGUGGACAGAGAUCCAGGGGGUAGGACUCCUCAAGCUUCGGCCAGC